rnacentral:rRNA from 1 species
UAUAAGAGGUAUUGCCUGCCCAGUGACGUAGAGUUCAACGGCCGCGGUAUAUUGACCGUGCGAAGGUAGCGCGAUCACUUGUCUUUUAAUUGGAGACCUGUAUGAACGGCACGACGAGGGCUUAACUGUCUCCUCUUUUAAGUCAAUGAAAUUGAUCUCUCCGUGCAGAAGCGGAGAUACCCCCAUAAGACGAGAAGACCCUAUGGAGCUUUAGACACUAAAGCAGAUCACGUAAACAUCUUCAAAACAACGAACCGAACACAAUGUUCCCUGCCCUACUGUCUUCGGUUGGGGCGACCACGGGGAAACACACAACCCCCACGCGGAAUGGGCUUACAUUCCCUAAGCCAAGAGCACCAGCUCUAAGAAACAGAACCUCUGACCUAGAGAUCCGGCUUAGCCGAUCAACGGACCAAGUUACCCUAGGGAUAACAGCGCAAUCCCCUUUUAGAGUCCAUAUCGACAAGGGGGUUUACGACCUCGAUGUUGGAUCAGGACAUCCUAAUGGUGCAGCCGCUAUUAAGGGUUCGUUUGUUCAACGAUUAAAGUCCU